AAUUUUUAUUAAAUUAUUACGUAUCAACAUUCCACAGUGAGAGACAGAGCAACAAACUGACGACAUCUUCAGGCCGUCUAAAACAAUCACCGUUGUUUAUUUACAAUAUAUUAAACUGUAAUGCAAAAUUAUAACAAGUGGUCAAUUUGUUCAAAAAUUAAAAUUAAAGAGGAGCUAUUUUCAAAGGCAGCAUGAAUCAGACACAUUUAUAUAUAAAUAUUGUGCACAGUCACAAAAGUUCAGACUUGUGUUUUGUUUUUUGUUUUAAGGCAAAAAAACAACAAAAAAACAAUCCAAGCUUUUGUUGACUGCAGAGAAUAAAAAUAAAAAUGACAAAAAUAAGCAUUUAUCAAUCACACCAACAAACAUCCCGUUAUUUUUUCAAACGUCUUAAUGUUUAAUGAUAAACUCAUGACCAAAGAGUUUACGAUUCCUUGUAAUUUUCCCGUUAAGUUCAGUCUGUUUAAAAGGAAAAAAAAAACAAAAAACACUCAUAUGAUGUUGAACAUAAUUUAAAUAUUGUUUUUCCAGUUGAUGAAACUGUAAUGUGCAGGUUGAGUUAGUGAGAAAUUCCCAAAACAUUUGGUGCUCCAUGUCAAACACAUUCAAUCCUCGUGGGGAGCGGAGAGAGGUACGUGAAACUACAAACAAUGUGUAAAUGAGAAACAGCAAAAAAAAAAAAAAAAAAAGUGUUUCUGCGACAUGUCGGCACCGAACCAGCGAGUACAAAACAAGCUGAAAUAAAAAAGAAAAAGAAGAAAAAAAAGAGGAAUUUCACAGAGGGAAGCUCAAGCUGACAUAGCAUUUAUUUUCCUGAUGGUGAUCCUCAGAAAACAAAUCAUCUGCCUUCGUCAAAAAUCAAAAAGAAAAACUGAAGGGGACGAAAAAACAAAAAAGUGUGUUCAGUGAACGCAUCAGCACAACUGCAAUGGAUCCGGAUCCCACUCCAAAGGAAAAAAAAAAAAAAUAAAAAUAAAAAUUUAAAUGGCACUUCUACCAAAAAUAUUCUUCCCAGGAUUCAUCAAAAUCGGCACACAAACAGAAUCACAGAAUUUUUGGCACGUUUCAUGGUGCAUUAAGCAUAAAUAAAAACCAGCGGUGAGAGAAAAAUACGUGAAAAACAAACAGGAGCUCAGAGUUCAGACGGUCAGCUUCAAUUUGAGGAAAAAAAAAAAAUUGCAUCCGUUCAUGGUUCUGGAAUUUUCAGGGAACAAAUAAAUCGGACAGUUAUCUACUGAACCGCGUCAUUUCCUCAUCAACUCAGCAAAUAAAACAUUAAUUCUGAGUGUUAUUUAUCUCUUAGAGUUGUGUGGAACAUUUAAACGACCUUAUAAAGUGAGUGAGUGAGUGAGUGAGUGAGUGAGUGAGUGAGUGAGUGAGUGAGUGAGUGAAGCCACAGAAUCAUUCAGAAUGGCUCUGAAGCAGCUACGAGCUGCAGCGGCUGUGACCGCAGAUGUUUACUGACAGAUUUAUCAAACUGUGUCACUUUCUUCCAAUUUCUUGUUCUCAAACUAAAAACUAAGUACAAAUAUAAACUCACCGGCGAUUACCGUCAAACUAAAGCUGACCGUGCGUGCACUGUGAGCUCUCUCUUUAUGAUGUCACUGUCCAAAUACUAAAGAACCACAGGGUCAUCAAUCCAAACUCAGCUUCUCUGACUCAGAUCCUAUGAUGAGAGCGCCUCCGGUGUCCGGGGUCGGCAUUAACAGAGCGGCUUUGGUUCCUGCGUUAGCUGUGGGCGGGUUUAGCGUGCGGUUGCGUGCAUUUGAGACUAGGACGCUGCCUCGUAGGGCCGAUCCUUGUCAUCCUCGUCCUCCCUCGUGUGGCUGCUGUAUUUGUAUCGAGUGCGGUAGGAGCUCCGGUAAGCCCCGCCAUCUUCUUUUUCACCCUCCUC